rnacentral:lncRNA from 1 species
UGGGGAGUGGGGACCUUGGCUGUAUCCCAUUCAGUCAUAUUUACCUAUUUGAUGCAUUUUCCUUCCGUAACAGAGUCCCCUGAGAGAGAGAGGACUCUGAUUCAGCCUUGUAGUGACUGAGGAAGGAGACGGAAGAAUUCCUCUUAGUGAUUGGAUCAGACAUUUCUAGAAAAUACCAGCACAGCAGAGAUAUGACACGGAGAACUGCCCUCCCUGGGCGGCUGUCAACAGUCUAUAGGAAGCUAUGGCAAUCACACGUAAACAUCAUUGAGACACAUCACGACAGCUACAACGAGAAGGUUGCCCAUGGCGGCUGCUCCCUCUGGGUUACUCCUUGAUUUGAUGGGAAAGAGACCAAGAUGGAUUCCUGGUCUCGAAGGGGCCUGACAGUCUCCUUGAGCCAGCCUCCUUAUCUAUAGGUGAAGACUUUUCCCAACACCAAGCACAAGAUCAUGGCUCACUUUCUCUACUGAGGUACUUGAUAAUCUUAAAAAAAAAAAUUAACCACCAAUU